UUACGGCUACAUCACGUUGAAAGACCAGUUCCCGUACGAUCAUCGAAGUUAAGCAACGUCAAGCCUGCUCAGUACUUAGAUGGGUGACUGCUUGAGAAUAACAGGUAC